GAUGAAGAACGUAGCGAAAUGCGAUAAGUAAUGCGAAUUGCAGAAUUCAGUGAAUCAUCGAAUCUUUGAACGCACAUUGCGCCCGCUGGUACUCCGGCGGGCACGCCUGUCCGAGCGUCAUUUCAACCCUCAAGCCCUCCUUCGGGAUGGGCCUGGUGUUGGGGCUCGGCCGCCAUCUCCGGCGGCCGUCCCCUAAAUACAGUGGCGGUCACGUCGCGACUCCUUUGCGUAGUAGAUACACCUCGCUCCGGAUAGCAACGCGGUCCACGCCGUAAAACCCCCAAUUUUCAAUGGUUGACCUCGGAUCAGGUGGGAAUACCCGCUGAACUUAAGCAUAUCAAUAAGCGGAGGA
rnacentral:misc_RNA from 1 species